rnacentral:rRNA from 1 species
AUGGCAAUAUUGAAACACUGGUUCCUGUAUGAUCACCAAAGUUAAGUAACAUUGAGCCUGGUCAGUACCUAGAUGGGUAACUGCUUGGGAAUACCAGGUACUGUAAG